UAGAUGUUGAAAGCCUGAGACAUAGGAGAGCUUCAUUCUUUCAGGAUUGAUAACUCAAACCAACUUUGGAGUUAACAACACAGAAGCCUACUUGUGUGAGGAGGUGAUCUUCUCAGCUGCUUCAUAAGAGAGGGAAAGG